AGUGACAUCAAUCUCAUUCAUGUCUACGAUAUUAUACAUUAUAUUCUACUACAUAGUCAUGACCAAUGUGUAUUAUUUAUGCCAAACCGAACGAUAUCGUACGUUGUCAUUCCAAACUCAUAUUUUAUGUUAUUAUUCUAGAUCGAAUAAGGCCUUUUUCCGAUUGUUCACAUUCCGAUACAGCGGCAAGACAUAGUAGCAUUUUUGUAUGCAAUCAUUCUCAACAGGCGAAACUAGCAACGAACUUUAACGGCGGAAGAUGCCAACUCUACAAUACCUAUCUUGUUCCGCGAACCAGCGAUAUUGAUAAAACAAAAAUAACAGCACUACCGUGACAGCAUUAAAUUAUGCAAUCUGAUACGUCUUGAGUCAUGACAAAUAAAUCCAUAGUUAAAUAUAUUUUUAAUUUUGCUCUAACUGUACCAUAUAUAUUAUAUACCAUACUACAGGUACCUACCAUCAAGAUCAAUAUCAAUGUUAUACCUUUACAAUGUUUUUUUUGUCUAUAUACUUUGUCACAAUAUGUAAUUAUAACAUAGUUUCAUUAAUUUUUAA